GGAUAGGUGACCGAGUGGCUUAAGGUGCAGGCUUGCUAAGCCUUUGAAGUACAUGUUACUUCCGUGAGUUCGAAUCUCACCCUAUCCG
rnacentral:tRNA from 1 species